AUACGGAGGGUGCAAGCGUUAUUCGGAAUCACUGGGCGUAAAGCGCGCGCAGGCGGGCUGAUAAGUUGGAUGUGAAAGCCUACGGCUCAACCGUAGAACUGCAUCCAAAACUGUCAGUCUAGAGUCUGGGAGGGGAAGAUGGAAUUAGUUGUGUAGGGGUAAAAUCCGUAGAGAUAACUAGGAAUACCAAAAGCGAAGGCGAUCUUCUGGAACAGUACUGACGCUGAGGCGCGAAAGCGUGGGGAGCAAACAGGAUUAGAUACCCUUGUAGUCC
rnacentral:rRNA from 1 species